rnacentral:rRNA from 1 species
AAGGGAGCUUGCUCCCGGAUGUUAGCGGCGGACGGGUGAGUAACACGUGGGUAACCUGCCUGUAAGACUGGGAUAACUCCGGGAAACCGGAGCUAAUACCGGAUAGUUCCUUGAACCGCAUGGUUCAAGGAUGAAAGACGGUUUCGGCUGUCACUUACAGAUGGACCCGCGGCGCAUUAGCUAGUUGGUGAGGUAACGGCUCACCAAGGCGACGAUGCGUAGCCGACCUGAGAGGGUGAUCGGCCACACUGGGACUGAGACACGGCCCAGACUCCUACGGGAGGCAGCAGUAGGGAAUCUUCCGCAAUGGACGAAAGUCUGACGGAGCAACGCCGCGUGAGUGAUGAAGGUUUUCGGAUCGUAAAGCUCUGUUGUUAGGGAAGAACAAGUGCAAGAGUAACUGCUUGCACCUUGACGGUACCUAACCAGAAAGCCACGGCUAACUACGUGCCAGCAGCCGCGGUAAUACGUAGGUGGCAAGCGUUGUCCGGAAUUAUUGGGCGUAAAGGGCUCGCAGGCGGUUUCUUAAGUCUGAUGUGAAAGCCCCCGGCUCAACCGGGGAGGGUCAUUGGAAACUGGGAAACUUGAGUGCAGAAGAGGAGAGUGGAAUUCCACGUGUAGCGGUGAAAUGCGUAGAGAUGUGGAGGAACACCAGUGGCGAAGGCGACUCUCUGGUCUGUAACUGACGCUGAGGAGCGAAAGCGUGGGGAGCGAACAGGAUUAGAUACCCUGGUAGUCCACGCCGUAAACGAUGAGUGCUAAGUGUUAGGGGGUUUCCGCCCCUUAGUGCUGCAGCUAACGCAUUAAGCACUCCGCCUGGGGA